GUGUGCGGCAUUAGAUGGGAAAUGCUCCAUAAGCUGUGACGAUGAGAACAUUAACUGCUACCUCAUCGACAACAACGGCUUCAUUCUGGUAGCAGAGGACUAUACGCUGACAGGGAAAUUUUUUGGAGAAGCAGAGGGAGCUGUAAUGAGUAAGCUUCUGCAUAUGGGCUCUUUCAAGAGGGUCACUCUAUAUGACUACCAGGCUCUAUGUUGGGUUUUUUCAGAGAGCAGUGACAGUGGACACACACUGUUGGAUCCUUACUUUGCCUUCUUCUCAGCCAUGAAGUGGAUGCUGACCGAGCUUGUAAU